rnacentral:rRNA from 1 species
GACGAACGCUGGCGGCGUGCCUAAUACAUGCAAGUUGAGCGCUGAAGGUUGGUACUUGUACGAACUGGAUGAGCAGCGGACGGGUGAGUAACGCGUGGGGGAUCGGCAGUUGAGCGGAGGACCACAAUAGGAAACGAAUGCUAAUACCGCAUAAGAACUUUAAACACAAGGUUUAAGGUUGAAAGAGGCAAUUGAAUAACUCAAAGAGGAUCACGCGUUGUAUUAGCUAGAUUGUGAGGUAAAGGAUCACCAAGGAGAUGAUACAUAGCCGACCUGAGAGGGUGAUCCACUACAUCGGGAACUGGACACGGGCCCAACUCCCACGGGGAGCAGCAGUAGGGGAACUUCGGCCAUGGGCGGAAGUCUGAAUGCGCCACUCCGCGUUGUUUGAGGAGGGUUUCCGAUCGUUAAACUCUGUUGGUAGGGGAGAACGUUGGGGAGGGUGGAAAGCUCCUCAAUUGACGUUAACUACACAGAAAGCAACGGCUAACUUCGUG